GAUAAUUUCAUCUGUAUAAUAUUCUGGCUGUGAUUCUUGCAAAGAAAGCAGAUGGCUGAUCAUUGUAUUACCAGCCUUAUCAUUUCUUUGCCCAUCAAUAAGACCUUGCAACAACACAUCAGUUCUUUUACUAAGUACCUUCAAUUUCUUCAAAGAACCUUGAUAAUCAAUCCACUGUAAAAAAGGCAAGAAAUCUCCAGGAUAUGAAGUCUCUGCAAAUUUGAAAACCUCUCUUAUAAUCUCCCUGAAAUGCCUCGCCUCGUUAGUUUCACAAUACGGCUUCCCUGUAAUCAUGUGCAUGAUUGUGUUAAAAGUUAGCUCUGAAAACAUUGGCCUUAACUCUACCUUACCAAAAUCUUUGCUAGAAACUUGAUAGAGUUUGUUCAGAAGAUUCUUGAUUUCAUCCCUUCGAAUGCCUAAAAAUUUGUUGACGCGAUUGGAUGAUAAGAUUUCGACAGUGCUUAACCGGCGAAGGUUGCGCCAGUGGUCACCAUAUGGGGCCGAUGCAAGGGUAGUAUGGUUGUAGUCUACAUACUUUGCAACGGUUAAAAAAGGGCGAUUGGCGAAAACAAUAUCAUUUUUGGUGAAGCAUUCU
rnacentral:misc_RNA from 1 species